GAUGAACGCUGGCGGCGUGCCUAAUACAUGCAAGUCGAGCGAACAGACGAGGAGCUUGCUCCUCUGACGUUAGCGGCGGACGGGUGAGUAACACGUGGAUAACCUACCUAUAAGACUGGGUUAAUUUCGGGAAACCGGAGCUAAUACCGGAUAAUAUAUUGAACCGCAUGGUUCAAUAGUGAAAGACGGUUUUGCUGUCACUUAUAGAUGGAUCCGCGCCGCAUUAGCUAGUUGGUAAGGUAACGGCUUACCAAGGCAACGAUGCGUAGCCGACCUGAGAGGGUGAUCGGCCACACUGGAACUGAGACACGGUCCAGACUCCUACGGGAGGCAGCAGUAGGGAAUCUUCCGCAAUGGGCGAAAGCCUGACGGAGCAACGCCGCGUGAGUGAUGAAGGUCUUCGGAUCGUAAAACUCUGUUAUUAGGGAAGAACAAAUGUGGAAGUAACUAUGCACGUCUUGACGGUACCUAAUCAGAAAGCCACGGCUAACUACGUG
rnacentral:rRNA from 1 species